GGAGAGGUGGCAGAGUGGUCGAAUGCGCGCGCUUGGAAAGCGCGUAUACCGCAAGGUAUCGGGGGUUCGAAUCCCCCCCUCUCCGCCA
rnacentral:tRNA from 4 species